rnacentral:rRNA from 1 species
GACGAACCGAGCGAACGUUGUUCGGAAUCACUGGGCUUAAAGGGCGCGUAGGCGGGUGCUCAAGUCUGUGGUGAAAUCCUCCGGCUCAACCGGAGAACUGCCAUGGAUACUGGGUGCCUCGAGGGUGGUAGGGGUAUGCGGAACUAUCGGUGGAGCGGUGAAAUGCGUUGAUAUCGAUAGGAACUCCGGUGGCGAAGGCGGCAUACUGGACCACUUCUGACGCUGAGGCGCGAAAGCCAGGGGAGCAAACAGG